UACCCAACAGCUAGCCCCCCUCCAAAAACAACAACGAAACAUAAAUACCCCCUAAAACCCAAACAACUUUUUAACAAACCAUUUUUCCCC
rnacentral:rRNA from 1 species